UACGUAGGGUGCAAGCGUUAAUCGGAAUUACUGGGCGUAAAGCGUGCGCAGGCGGUUUGUAAGUCUGUCGUGAAAUCCCCGGGCUCAACCUGGGAAUUGCGAUGGAGACUGCAAGGCUAGAAUCUGGCAGAGGGGGUAGAAUUCCACGUGUAGCAGUGAAAUGCGUAGAGAUGUGGAGGAACGACCGAUGGCGAAGGCAGCCCCCUGGGUCGAAGAUUGGACG
rnacentral:rRNA from 1 species